AUCAAAUAAGGGAGGUUUUUAACUUAGAUAAAAAGAUUGGUUUCCAGGAGGAAAAAUCUAAACUGGAAACGGAAUUGUUAGAACCUAAAACUAAAAAUUUGUCAAGAAUGUAUAAUUUGCUGCUGAAAUGGAAUACACAGGAUGAAAUGGUUAAAUCUGUUAUGAUUAAAUGGGCGCAGGAUGUUGGGCAUAACAUUAUGUUUGCUGACUGGGAACGGUUAUGGACCACAGGUAUGAAAUUUACGGCUUGUAAUGCUCUAAGAGAAAACAUAAUGAAAAUGAUUUACAGGUGGUACUUAACCCCAGUCAAGCUAGCAAAAAUUUAUCACUUGCCUGAUAAUAAAUGUUGGAAAUGCAAAGAAAACGAAGGUACUUUCUUUCACCUUUGGUGGACGUGCCCAAAGAUCAAGGCAUUCUGGGAAAUGAUAUACAAUGAAUUAAAAAAGGUAUUGAAAUAUACUUUCUUAAAGAAACCAGAGGCCUUCCUCUUGGGCAUGGUCGGCCAAUUGGUGCGAAGGGAAGAUAGAACUUUUUUUAUGUAUGCGACAGCAGCAGCAAGAAUACUCAUUGGGAAAUAUUGGAAGACACAAGAAUUGCCUACCCGAGAAGAAUGGCAGAGAAAAGUGAUAGACUAUAUGGAACUAGCUGAGAUGACUGGAAGAAUUCGAGAUCAAGAAGAAGGGUUGAUGGAAGAAGAUUGGAAAAAGUUUAAAAUAUAUUUACAGAAUCACUGUAACAUAAAAGAAUGUUAGGAAAGGUUGGAGAAGAAAUAUUAGACCGUAUUGGCAGACAGAGUAUAAUGGAAUUAAGUAAAUAUGAAGUGUAAAUUAAAGGAUAGAGGAGAAUUAAAUAUUUUUGAAUGUUAAAAUGUUAAAAUAAGUGAAUGAAAAGAAGGUUAGAAGGAUUUGCUGGAGAUACAAUUUGAAUUAGAAUACAAAGCAGAGAAGUGUGAGGAAGUCACGGAAAUAAGUAAAUGGGAAUACGGUUUGUUAAAUUUGAAUUCUUCUUUUGUUAUUUUUUAUUGUGAUUUUUGGUCUUGUGUAUUUUUUCUUUUUUCUUUUUUUCCUUGUAUGGUGUGUAUCUUUUGUAAGAUGUAUGUGACUGGUUUUCUUGUUUUGUUUUUUCUUUUUUUUUUGUAAUCUUAAAACUUGAAUAAAUAUUCUU